GAAGAUGCUUACUGCUUUGGUUGCCCAGAAGAACUAUGGCUGUCACUGAUAAGCAUGACUGACAGAUCAGCAAGGAAAGCCUGCCAGACCUUCCCUCAUUCCUAGCCAAGACUCAACACCGAUUAAACUUCUCAAUUUGGAAUUUACUAAACUUUCUAAUCACGAGUUUUGGCCUUAAAGAAGCAAGCAAGCAAACAAAGCCAACACUGAAAACAAGCAACCAAACCCAGAACAGAAACAUAAAUUGAUUUCUUGACUAAUGCACAGCCACUGAUUUUAAAAACUCUGUGUAUACUCCGGAAGUCACUGAUACGUGUAAUCCAUUUGAUCCACACAAGGAUAAAACAAAGACCAAUUAAGAGAAUUAGGACUAAAUUCCCUUUCGAGUCUGGUAAAGCCAUCCCUGUCUCACUAAGGAAUUACCUGCCUCUAGUUUUUCCUGAAAAAUCCACAGAAGUAAUCUACUAUGCCGAAGUUUUCCAUCUCAUCGGAAGAAGCAAAGAAGACCUAGAGAACCUAGAGCACAAUGUUUCAGGAUCAGAAAGGAAGAAGCAACUGGAGAUGGCUAUAAGAAGAGAAGCAGAAGAGGCAAUCCCAGAACUCGCCAAAGAAAGAUGGUGGUGAACUAAGACUCAAGAUUACCAUUUCUGUCUCCUCUUCAUCUAAGAAGAUAAAAAGCCGAAAAUACUAAAGAGGCUAUAAGGACCACUAAAAGUGUAAGGA